CCUACGGGAGGCAGCAGUGAGGAAUAUUGGUCAAUGGACGAGAGUCUGAACCAGCCAAGUAGCGUGAAGGAUGACUGCCCUAUGGGUUGUAAACUUCUUUUAUAUGGGAAUAAAACGUUCCACGUGUGGGAUUUUGUAUGUACCAUAUGAAUAAGGAUCGGCUAACUCCGUGCCAGCAGCCGCGGUAAUACGGAGGAUCCGAGCGUUAUCCGGAUUUAUUGGGUUUAAAGGGAGCGUAGGUGGAUUGUUAAGUCAGUUGUGAAAGUUUGCGGCUCAACCGUAAAAUUGCAGUUGAAACUGGCAGUCUUGAGUACAGUAGAGGUUGGCGGAAUUCGUGGUGUAGCGGUGAAAUGCUUAGAUAUCACGAAGAACUCCGAUUGCGAAGGCAGUUCACUGGACUGCAACUGACACUGAGGCUCGAAAGUGUGGGUAUCAAACAGGAUUAGAUACCCUAGUAGUC
rnacentral:rRNA from 1 species